UGAACAUUGAAUUAGGGACAGAUUUUAAGCAUCAAAAUUGAGUUUAAGAGUAAACAAGACUGGGUUUUUUAACAUCAGAAGUUCAGAGAGUUUAGGAGAGCAAGUUUUCAGAAAGCAUCAGUAUUUUCUAGAAGCUUGAAGAUUAUUGACUGUUUGAUUGAAGCUUUCCUUCUGUUUCCCUACUUUCACUUUUCUGAUUCAAGUUCUUUGGAUUGAUUUGAGUGAUUUUGAGGUCAGUUGAGUCUAUGUGAUUUUGAGGUCUGUUGAGUCUAUUGUUGAUUGAACCUUAGUUUGUUGAAACCUUAAGAGUUUCUGGGUGCAUCUUCUUUUCUUGUUUGGUUUUGGUAUUGUUGGAAUCAUCCCUGUUGGUGUUCAAAUAUGUUACUGGGUUGUUGCUAGUUUUGUUGCUUUUGUUAUUGUUGAAUGUGUUAAUGUGUUAAGUGCUGCUGCCAUUACUGAUCUUCAUCUCCUUCCUUGCUUUUUCCCAAAUUUCAGGUACACACAAUUGAUAUAUUGGUUCAAUGUAGCUAAAACUUGAAGCAUGAAUAAAAGGAUAUGAAGAAUUGGAAUUGGAACUUAUUGUAGUUUUCUUCUCUGUUUUUGUUGGUUGUAGUUUAAGACAUUCUGUAUACUUGGUAUGUAAACUUUGCCAUCAAACUGCAUAACUGGACAGUAAUUACCCUAUAGUGGUUUAGUUAGUUAAAUUUCUUAUGUAUGCUAUUAGAAAAGAAUUAAUGAUGUAGUAGUAUACUGCCAUCAAACGUCCCAUAUAGGCUUAAUCGAAAAGUGAUAAUGUAGCAACCAUGUUCAUUUACCUCAGAUUGCUCAUUGGGUAGUAUAUGGAUCAAAAAGCAUUCUGGUUGUUAAUUUAGUCUAUCUCAUUUGAUGAGUGGGCCAUCCGAAACUUGUAGCAACAUUGUUUAAAUUAGGUAGUGUUAAUUUUACCUUUUUCAGCCUUAUAAGUGUUAAAUAGGUGUAGAGUAAAUCGACUGAGCCCCCAUUAGAAUAAUGCCGGCCCAGGUCUAGUUUAUGCCGUAUACAAGGGUCCUGGGCCCAUAAUUGUCAAAUAGACUCCAUAUACAUGUCUCUUUUUCAGAUUUAACAAAUCACGUUCGGAACUCAACUAUAACAACUCGUGAGCAUGUAAAUAAGUUAGGAACUCUUUUUCUCUCAUUCUUUAGAGACGGACGGAAAAAUAGAAGAACAUAGUCACUUUAAGAUAUCCUUUAAAAUAAAAUGAUGUGUGCCUCACCG
rnacentral:lncRNA from 1 species